rnacentral:tRNA from 1 species
UGCAACUGCCGGAAAUCGAACCCGGGCCGCCCGCGUGGCAGGCGAGCAUUCUACCACUGUACCACC